CUUAAAACAAUAAUUUAAAGAGUAAAAAACAAUUGGAGAAGUCGAGGUUAAAGUCUAUAAAUUUAUUCGAAUCAAAUGAAAUCAAUAAUAAAUGUAGUAAUUUUUCCUAAGGAAUAUGGAUCAGUUCAAAUGGCUUUAUAACAUACGUCAUCGGACUCGCUCAGAUCGAUGUUUCCAUUGUCGUCAUCAUCCAACUGGCGAUGUAAGCUUGCAAUAGCCUCCAUGCCAAAGCGAUCCUGAACACUACCACUGUAGCAAUCAAAAUCAUCCGCAGCACACGCUCCAUCCGCUGAACCACUUCCCAUAGAACCUGUUGAGAGUACAUCGGUUAACAAUGUGUACAAACAUGCUAUUAAAUCUAAUCCACAAAAGGCUAUUUAAAUCAAAACAUAA